rnacentral:lncRNA from 7 species
AAACGGGCAGACAAAGGGGCUGUGUGGGAACCGAGCCGCCCAGCUCUGCUCUGCCACACAGCUCCGUGCCCACUGCCACUGCAGCGGUGCAGAGGAGCAGCACUGCUUCACUUCUGCCUUUGAAACCACAGCAAGCACGAUGCAAACCAAACCACGGGUACCGAAGAUGUCCAAAGAGGCAGGCUGACUCUCCUGCCCUCGAAGACAGGUUUGGCUCCACGAGCAGAGCAGAGGGAAUCGUUUUUAACUGGUUUAAACUAUGAUGGACUCAAGUGGAAAACGCAAGGAGAGUUAGCGAGGAGCAUAAUUGACUGGGCAUGGAACUCAGUAACCUCUCAGCACGCUGGAAGUGGUGGAGCAGAGGGGUUACGGCCAGGGCUGCUCCGCACCCACAGCCCUUUCUUCCCAAAGUGAACUCCGCCAGCAGCCAAAGACGGCAAUGACAACAACCUCUGGAGAGAUAGUCCCUCCUGACUCCUCACCAUGGCAACCGGUGUCUCAUUUCAGAAGUGUCAUGCCACAUUAUCAUCUUGCCGGCUCACACACUCCUGCCUGACAAGUUCUCUCUGCCCCUUGUGACAACCAUUCCAGGCUUAUGCUGUUUAUUUUUGGUGUCAGGCUGGCCCUGGCAGAUUGAAAGGCAACCUCAACCCCUUGAACAACAAGCACCACACCCCACUUGGCGAUAAGAGAUGAUUUGAGAAGAUAUUUGCUUACAUGUGUAUAAGCAAUUUGCUGUAUGAUGAAGCCCCGGUGUGCCUGUGUGAACGCACACGUAUGUGUGCAAAGGGGAAGGAACUGCAGAAGCGUAACAUUUCAUGAGAAAACAAACAAUUCAUUGCGGAUCCCAGGUAGCAGGCUUCAAUCAUCACAUCCCAUCGUACACACAGAACGUGAAACGUGGGCCACAAAGGCACCACGGGUGCUCCCCACAAAGAGAAACAACAGCUAAGCUCGGUCUGUCCCUGCAAAACAGCCUCGCUGUGUCCCUGCAGAGCGCUGUGAGAUGCAGCGGCAGAGGCACCCCAUAGGAGGAAUGGGGACAAAACACGACAGUUCACUGCAGAAACACGCUAGGGCCAGAUUCAUCUCUGCUGUCAUGGAGUCAAUUUGGAACAGCACUGUUGUCAUUGAAUUACUUGGGACUGCCUGCAAUUGGAAUCACAGAACCUUGUCUUCAAGUAGCAGGCUGCGUGCAUCAUGGAGACUUCCUUUUAACUAUCCAAUUUUUACAGCCUGUACAUAAGCAGGACUAUGUCUACAGCUAGGGUUUCUUGGUGUAAGCACAAUUAAAGCUGAUAGUAAU